GAUUCCAGCUCGUGCCGCAGUUGCGAGUCGGUCUGCAGGCGCGCCUCCACCACAGAGCGUUCGCCCGGUUCCAACUGGUUCAGAAGGUAAUCCAGAAGCAAGUGUCGCAUCGGUCUUAAGCAUCCGGCGCUUGCGAGGCCCCCGUCGUUUGCGAGGAACUGUGCCAGGCGUCACGCAACUUGGCCAACGCCGCGUGCAGCCGGCUUUUCACGGUACCCACCGGGAUACCCAUGGCUUCGGCCGCCUCACGGUAUUUUAACCCCUGGUAGUAAAUCAGGAUCACCGCCAUACGAUACUGCUCAGGCAAGCACGAGACCGUCUCGCGCACCCACUGACAGCGUUCGCUUGCUUCCAUUUGAGUGUGGGGGCCCGGUUGCUUGGCCACCA
rnacentral:misc_RNA from 1 species